AUAUGCUUGUCCCGAAGCUUAAGCCAUGCAUGUGCCAGAAUAUAGUAGCUUGAUCUAGAAUCUGCGAACGGCUCCGUAUAUCUGUUAUAACCCUCCGUCGCCAAUUGUAAUCGGCAUAACCUCGGUAAUUCUGUGGCUAAUACGUGUAUCAACGGCCCCCCGCCGCAAGGCCGUGGGGGCCGUGGAGUUGCCGACCGACCGACGGCGGGGGCUUCGCCCCCGCUCGAGGGAGGACUGGCAAUCGACCUUACCGAGGGGGUAUUCCACGGUGCGUACGACGGGCACCAGACCUAUCAACUAGACGCCCAAGGAUAGCCUGGGCGUGGUUAUAACGGGUACAGAGGAUCAGGGUUCGGUCCUGGAGAGGUAGCCUGAGAGAUCGCUACUACUUCUAAGGAAGGCAGCAGGCGCGCAACGUUCCCAAUGGGGGCACCCUGAGGACGUGAAGGGACAUAUCAAUGCCCGGCCCUUAAAGCCGGGCAAUUGAAAUGGGGGACCUCUAAACCCCACACCGAGUAACAAUUGGAGGACAAGUCUGGUGCCAGCACCCGCGGUAAUUCCAGCUCCAAUAGCAUCUCAUUAAGUUGUUGCAGUUAAAACGCUCGUAGUUCAAGUAAGCGGUUGGGCUAGCCCCCUAGUACUGCGGUGUCGCCCUGCCCACGCCCUAACAGGGCGGGGGGUGGGGCCCCCGCGGGAACAGUCGUGGGCUCGGCCGCUAUCCUGCCCGGCACCCGGGUAAUCCGUAGCUUCAGUGUUGCGGCGUCCCGACCGGGCACUUUACUUUGAACAAACGUGAGCGCUCCAAGCAGGCCGACCAUCGGCCAUUGAAACCCGCAGCAAAGAAUAAUGGAACAGGUACCCACCUGCUUCGUUGGUUAGGGCGGGCCAAAUGAUCUAUAGGGGCGAUCGGGGCAGGCCAUAUGGCGGGGGUAGGGGUGAAAUCCGUUGAUCCUCGCCAGAUGAACAAGAGCGAAAGCAGCCUGCAAGUACGCCUCCGUUGAUCAAGAACGAAAGUCUGGGGAUCGAAGACGAUCAGAUACCGUCGUAGUCCAGACCCUAAAUCAUGCCGGCCAUGGAUGGGCGCAAGUCCAUCCCGACCCUGCCCGCACUUUAUGGGAAACCAUAAGCGUCUGGGCUCCGGGGGGAGUAUGGUCGCAAGACUGAAACUUAAAGGAAUUG
rnacentral:rRNA from 1 species